rfam:Glaciecola nitratireducens FR1064, complete genome.
CGUUUGGUGUGCAACUUCGGGUUGUAUAGCGAGACGGCCUAAAAAAUAAGGU